AAAAUAUGCACAUGGUACAUUGAGGACCUGGAGACCAUUCUUAUUUCUCAUUCCCCAAAGCACCAUUCUGGGAGGGAAUUUUCAAUGUUUGCUACCGGGGACCAGAGGUGGUUGGGCGGGCCUUACCUAGACACAGUCUCUUUCAUGUUCACCACUGCACGGCCAUAUCCACUCACCGAAGAAUCUCUUUGCAACAUCCAACAGAAUACUCAUCCACGGCCACAAAGAGGUGCAUGAACAACGUAUUCAGGGGCUGCAGAAGAAAAGAGGACACGGAUUAAAGGCUGAGUCAGCAUUCGGGCUAGGUCAGCACAGGGUGGAAGGAGGGUUUCGGGGCAUCCACAGACACAGAACAGCCUGGCAUUUAGGGUUGAUAUUUUAUGUCUAAGUGAUGCAACACCCAGGCGGCAUUUGAGCUGUCUCACUGACUCCGUUUGCCGCCUUCUGUCCUC
rnacentral:lncRNA from 1 species